UUGAAUAACUUGGUGUUGAGCUGGCACUCUUUAAAAAUCCAUAUCCACCUUGUGUGCAAUGUUUGUUGGGAGAGAGGCAACUCUUUUCCCUUCACAAAUAUCAACCUAUAUCUUUAACAACAUUCGUCUGAUAACAUAUUAUGAAUAUACUUAAUUCAAAAUA
rnacentral:misc_RNA from 1 species